AGCCCUGAGGUGUUUUACAUAUUAGAUUGCAAAUCUAAAGAAGUAGGCUAGGUACCUACCGGGGCUU
rnacentral:tRNA from 2 species